CACCAAAACAGACCCAGGCACCCUCUCAAGAGGAAAAGAGAAAUGCCUAAUCCCAACACUCUUUGUUUAAAAUUCCCUUCUUCUCCUAGCUAAACGAUUCAACGUUAUCCAUCUACCAUCGAUUUUCCUUCAUUGGCUUGUUCCUUGAAGGAAAAUCAUAGAUUUGAAACAUUAUUAAAUAGCUAGGGCUUUUGAAGCCAUACAGAAAUUUGGUUGCAGAUUGGGUAUCCAACAAGGACAACACCGUUCGAAGCUUCUCAAUCUUCAUUGGAGGAGCUUCACUCUUAGCUGUGCUCUUCAAUCGCGCCGCUUCUGGUAUAGCUCUAUUUGCCAGUGCCAGUAGGUAAAUUGCUCUUCAUUGUGUGGGUUUCUUUCAAUUGAUUAAUUGCAAAUGUGAAAAAUAAUGGGUGGAAGUUGAUUAUUUCUGUAAGAUUUCCAUCUACCAAAUGCUUGAUGCAAUUAGGGUGCUGGAGAUUAACCCAAGACACCCAAUCAUAAAGGAGCUCCGUGAGAGAGUAGUCAAGGACCCUGAGGAAAAGCCAGAAUCACACAAGUGGAUGCGUACACCUAUCAAUAAUUAUGAUAAAUUAUUUGAGCUUCAUGGUGAGCAAAGAGCUACUGGUGAAUAUGCAGAAAGUGCAAGGGAAAAAGUUAGAAGUUGGCAAAGAGAGGGAAGUUCAUCCCAAAUUGAUUUGAAUGACACAUUUGUAAUGUAGUAAUGCCUGAUAGUGAUAUCAAUUGGAGUAAUGAGGUUACUAAUAACGAAUUGAAUAGUCCAGAACCUUCACUGCAAUCUUAAGGCACUUCUUCUAGAGGUUCCAAAUGCAAAACUUCUAUCAUGGAAAUGUUAGACAAUAUGAAAAAUUGAACUCAGGAAUUGAACGUGUCUCUGAGGUCUUGGAAAGAGGAAACAUGAUUGUAGAAAAGUCUCUUGCAAUUCUAGAAAGUGGCUAACCCCAAUAUUAUAAGGAGGAAGAGUUAUUUGCAGAGUUGGAAUCAAUACGAGUCCAUCCAGAUUUUGUGAUGACUGCUUAUUGUUAUCUUUCAAAAAAUCCAUCAGCAACGAGAUCCUUUUUUGGUGUUUCGCGUGCAAGGUGAUUAGAAUGGUUGAUGAGGAUUAUGUCUGACAAGUGACUAGAAGAUUCAAACCAAUUGAAUGCAUGUGGUAACACUAAUAUUAUCUAGAAGCUUUAGGUAAAUUGAAUGCAUGUGGUAACACUGACAUUAGCUAGUGUUAUAUGAACUUAUUUUGUAUGAUUGUGUUGGGUAAGAAUGCUAAACAGUAUUUUGAUUAAUACAUUAUGAUUUAAUGAUUAUUAGGAGUUAUCGUUAAUAUCAGAACUAGAUUCUACUUGAAUCGUUUAUGAUAAGGAAAUGGUAUUUGAUCGU